GAUGAAGAACGCAGUGAAAUGCGAUAAGUAAUGUGAAUUGCAGAAUUCAGUGAAUCAUCGAAUCUUUGAACGCACAUUGCGCCCGCCAGUAUUCUGGCGGGCAUGCCUGUCCGAGCGUCAUUUCAACCCUCGAACCCCUCCGGGGGGUCGGCGUUGGGGAUCGGCCCUUUACCGGCCGGCCCCGAAAUACAGUGGCGGUCUCGCCGCAGCCUCUCCUGCGCAGUAGUUUGCACACUCGCACCGGGAGCGCGGCGCAGUCCAAUGCCGUAAAACACCCAACUUUCUGAAAUGUUGACCUCGGAUCAGGUAGGAAUACCCGCUGAACUUAAGCAUAUCAUAAGCGGAGGA
rnacentral:misc_RNA from 1 species